rnacentral:rRNA from 1 species
UCAAGCUACAAAGAGCACAUAAUGGAUGCCUUGGUGCCAAUAGGCGAUGAAGGACGUGGCUAACUGCGAUAAGCCUCGGAGAGCGGUAAACACGCUGUGACCCGGGGAUUUCCGAAUGGGAUAACCUGAGUGGGAUAAUACCUGCUCGAGUUCCUGUGAAUACAUAGCAGGAACAUCGCAAUACCCGGUGAAGUGAAACAUCUCAGUAACCGGAGGAAAAGAAAGCGAAAGCGAUUCCGUCAGUAGUGGCGAGCGAAAGCGGAAGAGACCAAACCAGCAGCUUGCUGUUGGGGUUGUAGGAGCCCGAUGUGGUAGUGCAACGAUUAGAUGAAGCGAAUGGAAAAUCGCUCCAGAGAGGGUGACAGGCCCGUAAUCGAAAAUCCGCGCACGCCUAGGGAUUUCCUGAGUAAUACGAUGCACGUGAAACUUCGUAUGAAUCCACGCCGACCACGGCGUAAGUCUAAAUACUAAUUGGCGACCGAUAGUGAACAAGUACCGCGAGGGAAAGGUGAAAAGAACCGCUGUGAGCGGAGUGAAAUAGUACCUGAAAUUAUGUGCUUACAAGGUGUCAAAGCCGGAGCAAUCCGGUGAUGGCGUGCCUUUUGCUUAAUGAGUCUGCGAGUUAGUGUCAGUGGCGAGCUUAAAGCGUUCUGCGCUGGAGGCGAAGCGAAAGCGAGUCCGAAAUGGGCGACCAUAGUCGCUGGCACUAGACCCGAAGCCGAGGUGAUCUACCCAUGAGCAGGUUGAAGAUUGCUUAACCGCAAUUGAAGGACCGAACCCGUGAAGGUUGAAAACUUCUGGGAUGACUUGUGGGUAGGAGCGAAAGACUAAUCAAACCCGGUGAUAGCUGGUUCUCCCCGAAAUAGCUUGAGGGCUAGCCUCGUGUGCUGACCUGCGGAGGUAGAGCACUGGAUGAACUAGAGCCCAUACCAGGGUAUCGAAUUCAAUCAAACUCCGAAUGCCGCAGGGUGUAACACGGGAGUCAGUGCGUGAGGGAUAAGCUUCACGCGCGAGAGGCAAACAUGCCAGACCAGCAGCUAAGGUGCCCAAAUACCGUUCAGUGGAAAGGAUGUGAGGUUGCUUAGACAGUGAGGAUGUUGGCUUAGAGGCAGCCAUCAUUUAAACAGUGCGUAAUAGCUGACUCAUCGAGCGAUCUCGCGCCGAUAAUGAUUGGCGAUAAGCGGUAUACCGAAGCUCUGGAAGACGUUCUGGUUCGCCAGGACGGAUUGGUAGGGGAGCGUUGUAGCGACAUCGAAGCGGAAGCGGAAGCAACCGUGGAGUUUCUACAAGUGAGAAUGCAGACAUGAGUAGCGACAAGACAGGUUAAAUUCCUGUCCGCCGUAAACCCAAGGUUUCCUGGGGAAGGUUCGUCCUCCCAGGGUUAGUCGGGACCUAAGUCGAGGCCGAAGGGCGUAGACGAUGGAAAGCAGGUUCAAUAUUCCUGCACCGGCUGUGGUUAAGUUUAAUCGUGACAUAUGAGUGGAGACAGUCCGUCGAUUGAAAGUGACGGUCCCGCAAGGGGACGCUGAGGCCUCUGGCCAAGGUGGAUCUGUUGAAACUUGUAUCAAGAAAACCGGUUAAAUGUUCCCACGGUUGCCCGUACCGUAAUCCGACACAGGUGGGUGGGUAGAGUAUACCCAGGCGCGUGAGUGAAACCUCGUUAAGGAACUCGGCAAUCUAGCCCCGUAACUUCGGAAGAAGGGGUGCCUCCAGCAAUGGAGGUCGCAGUGAAAUGGGUCAACCGACUGUUUAACAAAAACACAGCACUCUGCCAAGUCGUAAGACGACGUAUAGGGUGUGACACGUGACCAAUGCGGAAAGAUUAUGGUAAGUGGUUAGUCCCGCUUCGGCGGGACGAGGCUACGAGCCGAAGUCCCCGUGAAUGUCGGCCGUAACUAUAACGGUCCUAAGGUAGCGAAAUUCCUUGUCGGGUAAGUUCCGACCUGCACGAAUCGUGUAACGAGUUGACCGCUGUCUCAACGAGGAGCUCAGCGAAGUUGUAGUGGCGGUGAAGAUGCCGCCUACCCGCAGUAGGACGGAAAGACCCUAUGCACCUUUACUACACGCUGUUACUGUUGUUUCGAUUUUGAUGCUUAGCGUAAGUGGAAGACUUUGAUGGAGCUCUUUUGGGGGUUCCUGAGUCGCCAAUGAAACACCACCCUUCGAAAUUGGAAUAACUAACCUCUUGCCAUUAUCUGGCAGAGGGACACUGGCAGCCGGCUAGUUUUACUGGGGCGGUAUCCUCCCAAAGAGUAACGGAGGAGUACGAAGGUUGGCUCAACCUGGUUGGCAAUCAGGUGACGAGUAUAUGGAUAUAAGCCAGCUUAACUGUGAGACACACACGUCGAGCAGGUACGAAAGUAG